UCAAAUGUUGCUGUUUCAGAAAGG
rnacentral:piRNA from 1 species